rnacentral:rRNA from 1 species
CCUACGGGUGGCAGCAGUGAGGAAUAUUGGUCAAUGGCCGAGAGGCUGAACCAGCCAAGUCGCGUGAGGGAAGAAUGUCCUAUGGAUUGUAAACCUCUUUUGUCAGGGAGCAAAGUCACCCACGUGUGGGUGUUGGAGAGUACCUGAAGAAAAAGCAUCGGCUAACUCCGUGCCAGCAGCCGCGGUAAUACGGAGGUGGCAAGCGUUGUCCGGAUUUACUGGGUGUAAAGGGCGUGUAGCCGGGUUGACAAGUCAGAUGUGAAAUCCUGCGGCUUAACCGCAGAACUGCAUUUGAAACUGUUGAUCUUGAGUACUGGAGAGGCAGAUGGAAUUCCUAGUGUAGCGGUGAAAUGCGUAGAUAUUAGGAGGAACACCAGUGGCGAAGGCGGUCUGCUGGACAGCAACUGACGGUGAGGCGCGAAAGCGUGGGGAGCAAACAGGAUUAGAUACCCGAGUAGUC